CGGACCGCCUCCGCGCGCGCUCCCGGUCUGCGCACACCGCUCGUGCACGUGCGCCGCAUUGGUGAGAGAAGUAGCCUACGCGAGGCCAAAGCAAUAAAGGGCCUAAUGACUUCUGACCUCUGGACAUCUGGGUGACGAACUGAGCAGACUGCGAUAAUCAGCAGAGCUGUUCAGCCCUGACUCUGCUGCUGGGAGCUGGGAAGACUUGACGAGGACGUGAUAAAGAGAUUCUAAAUAUAAAAAAAACUGGCAUUUCUUUAUUCAGAGCUGAAGCUUAAUAAAGAAAGUUGGAAACCACUGGUUGUGUAUUUAGCCUGUCUGUAGACGGAUCCAUUGGGAUCAUAAAAUAUUCUUGAGUUUCCUUGUUAAAUCUUGUAAAACUGAUCGUGGUAAGUUCUGAGUUUGAGUCCUCUCAGUGUGCCGUGACAAAAUCAUGCUUGAUGCCAACCCAAAUUUGAAUGUUGGGCCUCAGUCAUGCAGGCCUAGAAAGGGGUGGGGUACUGAAUACUCCUGGACUGGUUGGUGGUUGGUGAGCCAUUGCUGGAUGUUGUUCAUCAGAUGAAAACACCCCAAAAAUAUUGCCGCACUAAAAACUUCCUUACGAUUACUUUGAUCUCUAGCAGGUUGCAGUGGAUGCCGUUAGACGAUGCAUAGACGAUGGCAUCUUUUCUGCAAACACUUGAGACAAAACCUGCAAAAACCCUGAAACCUUCAGAUUUAAAGGCCUGCUUUACUGCUGCAAUCAACAUAUUUCAAGAAGCAUAAUGUUUGCUUUAAAUAUAAAUGGUCUUUGUUUCUCAGCACCUUUCAGUUUCACUACCUUUUGAACUGUUAGCGAGUGUUUGCAGACAAGUCGGCGUCUUCCAUGCAAACUACUGGCGACUGCAGCAACCUGCUUACAACAAAACAGUCACAGGGAGACUUUUGGUGCAGCACUAUACCCGACUACCCGACCUUCCAACCGUCAACAACCAGUUACUAGCUGGUCAGAAUACACAUUUUUCCCUUGUGACCUGUGGGUGCCACGGGGCCACCCACCGGUCUCUUGGACCUCAGUUAGCCUGCGUGACUCACUGAAGUCCAAGUUAUCAUUGGUGUUCUCCCUAAACCUAAACUAUCAAACCAUUUUGUUCUUUUUAAGAAAAAAAAAAAUCAUUCUCCAACCUUUGCAAGCA